rnacentral:rRNA from 1 species
GAUUAAAAAUUAUUAUAAAUUUAUUAAGGGUAAUUUUAGGUAUAAAUAAAAUAUUUUUAAGUUUUAUUAAUUUUAAAGAAAAAAUAUUAUUUAUUAUAGAUAAUUAGUAUUGUUAAAGAAAUUUUAUUUUUUAAAAAAGAAGAAUUAAAUUUUUGUACCUUGUGUAUCAGGGUUUAUUAAAUAUAAUUUAAAAUUUUAAUAUUCUCGAAUUUUAAAGAGUUAAGGUCUUAAAAUUUUUAUUGUGGAAUAAAUAUUAUUAAUAAGAUUUUUGAAGUAAAAUGCUAACGAUUUAAAUUAUAUCUAGUUUCUUAAGAAAUAAAUUUAAUUUAUUUUUUUAAAAAAAUGUAAUCAAUUAAAAGAUUAUAUUUUAUAAAAAUGAAAUAUUUAAAGGGAUAAGCUUUUAAAUAUAAGUAUAUAAUUUAUUUAUAAAGUUAAUUAAAAAUAAGAUUAAUAGUUUCUAAAAUGUUUUAUAACAAUUUAAUUAUUAAAUAAUAUUUAUAUUAAAUUUAUAUUUUAUAUUAAGAUAAAUUAAAUAAUAUUUAUUUAAAUGAAAUAAUGAUAAAAUUAGUAUAAUAAUUUAUUUUUUAUAAAUGUAUUUAAAGAUUAUUUAAAGGAAUUCGGCAAAUAUUAUUUUCACCUGUUUAUUAAAAACAUGUCCUUUUGGUUAUAAUUUAAGGUCUAAUCUGCCCAAUGAUUUUUAAUGGCCGCAGUAUUUUGACUGUGCAAAGGUAGCAUAAUCAUUAGUUUCUUAAUUAGAAGCUUGUAUGAAAGAUUGAAUGAAAAAUAGACUGUCUCUGAAUAAAGUUAAAAAUUUAUUUUUAAGUAAAAAAGCUUAAAUUUUUAUAAAAGACGAGAAGACCCUAUAGAGUUUUAUAUUUAAUAAAUUAUUUAUUAAUAGAAUUAAUAUUUAAUUAAUUUAAAAAUAUUUAAUUGGGGUGAUUAAAAAAUUUAUUUAACUUUUUUUUAUAUAAAUCAUAAAUAAAUGAAUUAUUGAUCCUAAAAUUUAGAUUAUAAGAAUAAAUUACCUUAGGGAUAACAGCGUAAUUUUUUUAAAAGUUCAUAUUAAAUAAAAAUUUUGCGACCUCGAUGUUGGAUUAAAAUUAAUUUUUGGUGUAGAAGCUAAAAUAUUAGGUCUGUUCGACCUUUAAAAUUUUACAUGAUCUGAGUUUAAACCGGCGUGAGCCAGGUUGGUUUCUAUCUUUAUAAAAAUAAAAUUUUUUAGUACGAAAGGACCAAAAAUU